GACGAACGCUGGCGGCGUGCCUAACACAUGCAAGUCGAGCGAGGAACUUCGGUUCCUAGCGGCGGACGGGUGAGUAACACGUGGGUAACCUGGCUCAUAGAGGGGGAUAGCCUUCCGAAAGGGAGAUUAAUACCGCAUAAGAAGUGAGAAUCGCAUGGUUCUAGCUUUACAGGAGUAAUCCGCUAUGAGAUGGGCCCGCGGCGCAUUAGCUAGUUGGUGAGGUAACGGCUCACCAAGGCGACGCUGCGUAGCCGACCUGAGAGGGGGAUCGGCCACAUUGGAACUGAGACACGGUCCAGACUCCUACGGGAGGCAGCAGUGGGGAAUAUUGCACAAUGGGCGAAAGCCUGAUGCAGCAACGCCGCGUGAGUGAUGACGGCCUUCGGGUUGUAAAGCUCUGUCUUUGGGGACGAUAAUGACGGUACCCAAGGAGGAAGCAACGGCUAACUACGUGCCAGCAGCCGCGGUAAUAC
rnacentral:rRNA from 1 species